rnacentral:rRNA from 1 species
GUCGGACGGGGGGUGAGGCUUCGGCCCCAUCUCGAGUGGCGGACGGGUGCGUAACACGUGGAUGACCUACCGCGCGAUGGGGGAUACCCCUCAGAAAUGGGGGCUAAGACCGCAUGCGCUCCUCUUGGGCGACCGGGGGGAGGAAAGCUUGUGCUUUGGGCAACCGGGCAGGAGCGUCGGGCGAGGGGUCCGCGGCCGAUUAGCUAGUUGGCGGGGUAACGGCCCACCAAGGCGACGAUCGGUAGCUGGUCUGAGAGGAUGAUCAGCCACACUGGGAUUGAGAACGGCCCAGACUCCUACGGGGGGCAGCAGUGAGGAAUCUUCGGCAAUGGGCGCAAGCCUGACCGAGCAACGCCGCGUGGAGGACGACGGCCUUCGGGUUGUAAACUCCUUUUCUGGGGAACGAGAUAUCUGGACGGUACCCCAGGAAGAAGCCUCGGCUAACUACGUGCCAGCAGCCGCGGUAAUACGUAGGAGGCGAGCGUUGUCCGGAGUUACUGGGCGUAAAGGGUGCGCAGGCGGCUUCGCGCGUGUGCGGUGAAAUCUCCCGGCUCAACUGGGAGGGGGCCGUGCAGACGGCGGAGCUUGAGGCUCGGCGGGGGGCGUGGAAUUCCGGGUGGAGCGGUGAAAUGCGUAGAGAUCCGGAGGAACACCGACGGCGAAGGCAGCGCCCUGGACGAGACCUGACGCUCAGGCACGAAAGCUGGGGGAGCGAACAGGAUUAGAUACCCUG